CCGUGUGUGGAGACUGGACUUCUGCUGCCACAAGCCAAGAUCUGCCAGAAGCCAGGAAGCCUGGAACAACGUCCUGAGCACCUUCGGAGGGAGCGCGGCCCUGCUCACACCUUGUUCUCCGACUCUGGCCUCCAGAAUGAGCUCAGACUCUCCCGUGGGUGAUCCAUGAGGAUGGUGCCCCCCCAGCCCACCCCGGAGACUCCAGAGGCGGCACAGUAAAGGCACACUGAGGCGACUGUGUUCAGGUCACACAGGCCGAGUAUGGAUCCAGAUGCGCCACCUCCCAGAUGACUGAUCCCAGGCUGCUGCGCUCCAGUUUCCCCCAUAAAAUGGACCAAUGAUACCUGCCUCAUGGCCACAAAAAGGAAUGAAGCACUGAGACCUGCUCUAAGGAGAGACCUUGGAAAUGUCAUGCUGAGUAAGAGAAGCCAGCAAGAAAGGUGUUCAUUGGACCCCUGCCAAGACCCCAGCCUGGACUGCACAGAGCUUCUAGACUCUCUGAGUUGGUUCUACAUACAUAGCUUAUUACUCCUUCCUCGGUUUCCUAUGGGGGAAAUGGGGGGCACUUCUCAGCAGGGCCGCUGUAAGGUUCCCAGGCCCAGGAACCAGCACGUGUAGGGGCUCAGAGGACAGCCUCUCUCCGCUCCCUCCCACUCUAGGACAGGAGCGAAAGGCAUAGAGGUGCCACUCAUCUCUGGUCUUUAAUCCUCGCCCUCACCUUCCAGCUAACCAGGACGAAGAUUCAUUCUGCAGCCACACUACUGGACAGCAGUUGUGGGUCCCAGCGGCCAAAGCUCCGGCUGAGGCUCCCCUGACUGCAAGCUCGGGUGCUACAUGGGGCGUGUGUUACAGGGGAAGCCCCCUCUGCCAGCAGAUCUCAUAAUCUGGGCACGUCUGGGACCCUGCCCACCCUGCAGGUGGAACUGAGGCCAUAAGUGGGACACCGUUGGUGACAGCCAAGUGAACCGAAGGCUUCACAUGUCCCACGUCUUGGUGGGCUCCCACAGCAGCCCUGGGGAUUCUAAUCCCACUUUAGAAAAGAGAAACUGAGGCUCAGAGUGGUUAAAUGGUGUGCCGGAGGAUCCUCCGUCAGGAAAUGGUGGAUUCAAAUGCAGCUCUAGCUGCCACCAAAACCAGCAGACACGCCUGGUGCCACACUGCCCGGCGGGGAGCCAGUGCGCAAGAAGCCCCUGAAGAGUCUCAGUUAAAGUUCAUCAGCUCCUGACACUUCAGCUCCCACACUGGUCACCCCUGGUCCCCACCUUCCUUCUGCCAACCAGAGGCAGAGAAUAUCAGUGGGUACCAAGCCAAACGGGGAAGCUAGAGGGACAGAGCCCCGCACCCCCAGUCUGCCCAGCCCUGCCCUUGGCUGUCCUCAGCCCCUCCACUCCAGGCC